UCGUUUAUGUUCAAUAUGUACUUGUUGAAUAAUUAUUUCAAAGACCAAUUCUUAGCACAGCGCUUGCCACGUGGUAGGUUUGAUAAAUGGUGACUGUUCAUGCAAUAAAGAAUCACAGCUAGUGCUGCUUACAUGCCGGUUAUAUGGAAGGCCUUCUGGGCAUUUUACUUGUAUUACCUAAUUUAAUAUUCACAAAAUUACCUGUCUUCUCUAACCUAAUAUUUACAAAAUUACAAGUCUUCUCUAAUAUUCCCAAAAAACAAGUUAAGUACUAUUAUUAUUCCCAUUUUACAGUUGUGGAAACAGGCAGAGGGAGGCCAGGUAACUCUUGUAAGGUUUUGUGGCUAGGAGGUGGUGGGGCAAGAUUCAAGCCAGGUCUGUCUGUUUCCAGAACCCUUGGUCUUAACCACUGCACUCUCCCAACAUUUAUCCAGUACUCAGUCUUUCUUUUCUAAGAAAAUUCUUAUAAAUCAGGCCUGUGCUCCUUGGAGGCGAGAGAGAAGGGAGGGAGUAAUAAUCAGGUGGGUGAGGCAGAGACAAGUGAGCUGGGGUCCUGUCACCUACUGCAUUGCCCAGCCAUGCUGGGUGGCAGAGGUCAGAAGAGGGGUGAAUAGACUAGUUGCCAUUGGGGCCUCUCUUCCCAUAAACAGGCCAUCUGCAUGCCAAGCCCUGUGCUGGGCUAGGGAGGAAGUACAGCUAGCAUGACAGACCUGUCCCUGCCGUCAUGGGGCUGGCAGUCUAAAACAGCGACCACUAACUAGUGACCUGUGGGCAGCCCACAAAAGAGUUUUUGGUUUUGCCUGCCUAAUAUUUAAAAUUUUCUAAACUUUUUAACAUAGGUUGCUACAGUCCCCACCCCUCCCUAUUAUAUCACACAUGUCUAGCUUUAUUCAUAUGUGCCUGCCAGCACCUGAGUGUCUUUGUCUGCUCCCAUGAAGGAAGGCCCCAGUUGGGGCCAGGCAUGUGAAGACCAGCCUCCUCUGGACUGUCAUGCGGGUGAGUGCUCUGGCAUUCUUCGCCUUGCCUCCUAUCUGUUUUGAAAUCCCAGAAUCUCUACCUUGAGCCCUGAAGUCCUUCGCCUCCCAAAGCUGAAAGCCCCUCCACUGGCCCCAGAUGUUGUGCAGCCCGUGGCUGGAAUAUCUGAAAACUCCGGUGGUGGAUACCAGCUCAGAGUCAGUCAAAGCUGGGUUCGUGUCCCAGCUUCACUGCUUACCAGCUGAGUGAUGCUGUGCAAGUGAUAAAUACCUGCCUCAGUUUCAUCCUCUGCAAAAUGGGGGUAAUAAUAGUUUCCUCUUCAUUGGGUUAUUGUGAAGAGUAAGUCAGAUGAUGUGGGGAAGAUGCUUGACACAGAGCAGGUGCUCACCAAACGGGUGGCUAAUCUUUCUUUGGGAGGUAGCUGAUAUAGAGCCACUGGCGCUGUAAGUUCUUCCUUAUAUCAAGCUGAGGUCCGCCGGCUUUGUAACUUCCAUAGCUUCAUGCUACUGGCAGCAUAAGUGUGCUUCUCUUUCCAUAGAACAGUUGUUCAGAAAUUGAGGACCAAGCUAAACAUCACAGCUUCCCAUUCAAGACCUGCUGCGUAAUUUGGGGAGCCCAGUGCAAACUAAAAUUGUAGAGUUCCUUGUUCAAAAAUUAAGAAUGUCAAGAUGAUGACAGCAGAGCUCAGAGCCCCUUCUGAGGGCAGAGUCCCGUGUGACUCCCACCCCGUGCUCCCACUGGUGGUCCACGGGCAUGUGUUGUCCUACAGAACCUACGUGGCUGGAUGCGGUCCGCCUGGAGCAAGAGAAAGCCAGCCUGGCACAGCCAUCUGCGCUUCCAGCCCUGCGGACCCUGGUCAAGAAGCUCACCUCUCUCCCACUGAAAACCACGUGAGGGUUGCCUUCGGUUGAGUCUGUGAGACAGACAAGGGCUCCUGUCAGCCAGGUGCCUCCAGGUGAACCAGACGCAGAAUCUGAUGCCCAGAGGUCACAGGCCGCAUAUCCAGUUGGUGGAGUCAGGAUUGGGAUCCAGGCUGUGCGACUUUAAAGCUGGUGCUCUUGCCCAUUGAUGGAAGGAUUUGGAUUUGGAAUCAGAAGACACGACUGGAGUGGGGGGAUAAUGAUGAGGGCAACAACAACGACGGCAGUAAU